rnacentral:rRNA from 1 species
AUUGAACGCUGGCGGCAGGCUUAACACAUGCAAGUCGAGCGGGGAAGGGUAGCUUGCUACCUGACCUAGCGGCGGACGGGUGAGUAAUGCUUAGGAAUCUGCCUAUUAGUGGGGGACAACAUUCCGAAAGGAAUGCUAAUACCGCAUACGCCCUACGGGGGAAAGCAGGGGAUCUUCGGACCUUGCGCUAAUAGAUGAGCCUAAGUCAGAUUAGCUAGUUGGUGGGGUAAAGGCCUACCAAGGCGACGAUCUGUAGCGGGUCUGAGAGGAUGAUCCGCCACACUGGGACUGAGACACGGCCCAGACUCCUACGGGAGGCAGCAGUGGGGAAUAUUGGACAAUGGGCGAAAGCCUGAUCCAGCCAUGCCGCGUGUGUGAAGAAGGCCUUUUGGUUGUAAAGCACUUUAAGCGAGGAGGAGGCUACCGAGAUUAAUACUCUUGGAUAGUGGACGUUACUCGCAGAAUAAGCACCGGCUAACUCUGUGCCAGCAGCCGCAGUAAAAC